AUAUGCCACUUUUGCUGGGGUGGAAGGAGGGAAGGGCUGGCUUGCUGAGCUGGGCUCUAGAAUGGGAAGGGUACCUUUCUGCAGAUCCCAUUUGGACUCUCCACUUGAACAAGUGAGGUGUCUGAUUUUCUUCUUCGGUACCUUCCUUUCCUCCCCCUCCCUUCGCCUCACCCCACUUUCAUCUGUCAUCACCACCUGGGUCCUACUGCUUGGCACCCAACCAACUGGAUGCCGCCACGUUUGGCAGUGCUGCACUGGCACGUGAACAGUGUCUCAGAUCCUGGCACUGCAGCAAACCCAAAGCCACCAAACAUGCUCAUGAUGCCACUUGGCAGCAGUCAGAGAGAGGGGGCUGUGCACAUAGUGGUGCCAGGCAUUGGGUGGAGCUCUGUGCAGGGAACUGGCAUGAGACGAUGCCCUUAACAACUGGGCUAAGUCAGCACUCCCUGGUCAAUCUCAGCUCUGCCUUCCUCCCAACUAGAUAUCCACCUCCUUCCUACCCUUAUUGCCCCCACGAAAGGGAUUUAGAUGGUACCAUAUUGAGUGUUUGAGCACCAUGCGAAAGGAAACAAGCACAGAGGGACAGGCUAGAGCACAGGCUGUAGACACACCCAAGGCUCCAGGUUAGUGGACCAUACAUAUCCUUGGACAACAAGAACAACAACAACAACAACAAAACCCUAGGAGAACAAAAGGAGGUGGAGAGAGGGACACCAGCUGUGUUGUUACCAGGAUGGCACAAGAAGAGAUUGGAAGGGAAGUAGGAAGGAGUGACCCUCAGACCUUGCUCUUGGGUGAUGGGGUGGUUUGUACUUAUGCAUAUUUCAUUCUGCCUUGUGCCUUGUGAUUUGCUGAGCUGUGGUUGAGAUGAACUGGUUCUUUCUCCCUUGUUAAAAGAUCCAUAUUCAAUAAUAGUCCUAGAAAGAUGGAAAGGUGCUCUAGGCCUAGAGAGGUAGACAGGUGUUAGGAAGACAAACGGACUUGUCCUUCCAGAAAGACUAUGCAAGGCACCCAGUUAGAGUUGGAUAGAUUUCCAUAUCUUUGAAAUCCACCCCAAGAAGGGAGAUUGAGGAUAAGCAAUGAUCCCUGGUAGAGGGGAAGGCCCCUAGGAGGAGAAUCCCCAGCAUCUGUGGUGAUACAGACUAGCCCUCAGAAAACUAGACCUUGGGCCCCCAUCUGAAAGAAUUUCUAGUAGGUUUGGCUUUCCCAGUGACUGGGCAGAUCUUUAGAAGAUCUGGAAGAUUUGGCUGUGGGUGAUGUGCAGGGGAGGCUGGGUGGCUCUGGGAGAUAGGACCUGCCCAGAGGUAGGAGUAAAGUCCAUGCUGGGCUGAGCUGCUCAGGGCUGGGGAAGUUCUGAUUUCAGCAUCUCUGGAAGUGUAUGGCUACUUCAGAAGAAGCAAGGUGUUUUCCACAGCAGAGGAGAAAGCAAGGAGGCACUCAGCCAAAGUGGGAUGAAUGACUGUCUUAAAACAGAUCACAGUGGUGGAGAUUUGGAGAAUCAGUGAUCUGGUCUAUAAGCCCUGAAAGUGGUUAAGAAACAAAUACAAAGAAUUAAGCAGAUGGGUGCUAUUAUGCCUGGAAUAAAAGGCUUGCUUGGUUCUUAAGCCUACUUCUCCUCUAGGAUUCUGCAAAGGAUUGUGCUGACUCAGCCUUCUGUCCACCAGAAUACCCACUGUGCAUUGCUCUCUGGAGCAGGACUGCUGCUGCUAAGGACUUCUGGUGUGAGAAAGGGACUGGGAAGGAAUGCUUCCAGCCACUGGGAACAUGGAAUGGUGCCCCCUCAGGAAGCAUGUUAAUUGACCUAAGUCAGCAGAGUCAGCCCGGCUCUUUUGCCCCCAAAUUCCAGGGUUCCAGCAACCUUAUUUUACGGAUGGGGCAUCCAAGAAAGAGAGAUGUUAAGUGAGCUACUGAGGGUCACACAGCUCCAAGAUAGUGAAACUAGAAAUGGACUGAUGAGGCACUGAGUAAACCCCAAAGUUGUGGUCUAGACUCCUCCACCCAGCUAGACUGUCCCUUGGACACAAUACAGGCAAAAUGAGACUCCAAAGGACUAGAAAUGAAGAUUCCAGUCUGGGCAUGGUGGCUCACAUCUGUAAUCCCAGCACUUUGGGAGGCCAAGGCAGGCAGAUCACCUGAGGUCAGGAGU